GCACUCCUGGGGCGUCUCUAUCUCAUCGCGAGAGGAGGCGCACCUAGAGCGUACACGCUGAUACCCGAAAGAUGGUGAACUAUGCCUGGCCAGGACGAAGCCAGGGGAAACCCUGGUGGAGGUCCGCAGCGAUUCUGACGUGCAAAUCGAUCGUCGGAGCUGGGUUUAGGGGCGAAAGACCAAUCGAACCAUCUAGUAGCUGGUUCCCUCUGAAGUUUCCCUCAGGAUAGCUUGCGCUCGGAUGAAACGAGUCUCAUCCGGUAGAGCGAAUGAUUAGAGGCCUUGGGGUCGAAACGACCUCAACCUAUUCUCAAACUCCAAAUAGAUGAGAACCCCGGCUUUCUUGAACUCUGUUUAUGAAGCCGGGGGCUCGGAUCAGAGUGCCAAGUGGGCCAAUUUUGGUAAGCAGAACUGGCGCUGUGGGAUGAACCAAACGCGGAGUUAAGGCGCCUCAAUCGACGCUCAUGUGAAACCAUGAAAGGCGUUGGUUGCUUAAGACAGCAG
rnacentral:rRNA from 1 species